GGCAGGAAUUCACUGGUCAACUGAGGUUUGAACCAGAAGAGAUCCUAAAACUACCAAUUAGAAAACUGUUGGUCUUCUCUGAAAUUAAAACUUGAGA
rnacentral:lncRNA from 1 species